GCAUAGAGAAGAUGAUGGCUAUAUUUAAAAGUCCAGAAGUUUCACAGAUAUUCAAAAAGUUUUUUGGGGGAAUGCAACUUCCCCAAGGGGAUAACUCCACUGCUCUUUUCACUCCGCCCACUCCUCCAACUGUUCCAACUAUACAACCAAUCUUUUUAAAUUCAAGAAAUUCCUCCAAUGUUUAACUUACAAUGGUGCCCAGAUUAUGGCUACUAGUCUCUAGUAACAACUGAGUGACUGCGGGACAUAUUUAUAAAUAUUGAAAUACCAAGUAAAAGUUUGUCUAUCGCCUUACUAAGAUUGUUUUCUCAUGAAAUCCACAACGCAUCAAUGGCACCAGAUGUUGUUUUUUUUUCAAUCUGUGAACAAUUUAUUUUUAUUUUUGUUUAAAAUAGUUUGUGUAUUAGAGUUUUAUCGAACACUGAACGAAUGUCUAUCGAAAUCAAAUCCACAAUUAAAUGUAUUAGUUAUGAUUAAAAUUUUACCAUUCCAAUUCUAUACACAUGUUAUUUUGCUUUUCUGUUUUUUAACCAAGCUUCAAUCAACUGACUCUGUGUCCGUCAGUCUACUAACAAAUGUGUAAUCGUCAUUUCUCCUUCCACUUAUCUCUGAUCAAGCUGAAACUUAGCACAAUUAUUUCUUGUACUUGACUAAAUAAGAAUCAA
rnacentral:sRNA from 1 species